rnacentral:rRNA from 1 species
AUUGAACGCUGGCGGCAGGCCUAACACAUGCAAGUCGAGCGGAUGAGUGGAGCUUGCUCCAUGAUUCAGCGGCGGACGGGUGAGUAAUGCCUAGGAAUCUGCCUGGUAGUGGGGGACAACGUUUCGAAAGGAACGCUAAUACCGCAUACGUCCUACGGGAGAAAGUGGGGGAUCUUCGGACCUCACGCUAUCAGAGGAGCCUAGGUCGGAUUAGCUAGUUGGUGAGGUAAAGGCUCACCAAGGCGACGAUCCGUAACUGGUCUGAGAGGAGGAUCAGUCACACUGGAACUGAGACACGGUCCAGACUCCUACGGGAGGCAGCAGUGGGGAAUAUUGGACAAUGGGCGAAAGCCUGAUCCAGCCAUGCCGCGUGUGUGAAGAAGGUCUUCGGAUUGUAAAGCACUUUAAGUUGGGAGGAAGGGCAGUAAGUUAAUACCUUGCUGUUUUGACGUUACCAACAGAAUAAGCACCGGCUAACUUCGUGCCAGCAGCCGCCGUAAAAC